rnacentral:tRNA from 1 species
GGGUCUAUAGUUCAGUGGUAGAAUAGAGGUCUCCAAAACCUUAGACCGAGGUUCGAAUCCUCGUGGGCCCG